GGAGGGGGCCUAAUAGCAGCCUGCUUCAUAGCUAUGACGAGGCCACUAAGACGAUAUAGCCAGGCUCUUCACAGCAGUGCCUGGUGGAAAAAGGAGAGGUACCAGGACAUAAGUUGAAUCAAGUCAAGGAAAACCUUUUUCCCCCACGAGCACAAUCAAACAGUGAGACAGGCUGCCCAGAGAGGUUGUGCAGUGUCUGUGGUUGAAGAUUUUCAAGACAUGACUGGAUAAAACCUGAUCUGACCUCGUUGCUGAGCCCUGCUCAAGCAGGCUGUUGCACUGGAGACCUCCUGAGGUCCCUUUUAACAUGAAUAUUAUUAGUAAAAAAAGUUCUGGCCUGCCCUUUACUUAGCUUUUACACAGACUUCCCAGAAGGUGGUUUGUGCCCUCUUCCAGCUGAUAGUGCAGGAUAUGAUGCAGGAGCCUCCAGCAGGUAAGCAGAUUUUGCAACUGCAAUCCUGUCCCUGCUUCUCUUCUCAUCUUAGCAAAAGGGAGGCCUCAAACAGCAGUUCAUCAUUGUGCUUCUGUGUUAAUGGUUAGUUUAUGAAUAUAUGUAAUCUCAACCCAAACAAAACCUCAUCUAUUCAGUUUCAGCACAAAUUCUUAUGAGCUGGUGUUUAUAAGGUUCUGUGGGAGGGCAAAUGACUUCCCCCCCUGUGCUGUUCAGCAUGCUGUCAUUUGUGUCACUGCAGAGCCUGAAGCAGCAGGGUUCUCUCCCCUUACCUGCUUUACUUUGCUACAAAUGCUAAAUAAGCCUCAAAGGAGACAUUCUGCUGCCUCUGAGCUCACCCUGUGUUUAAUUAUGUAAGCCCCAUACAGGUGGGCAAAAGUCUGUACUGGCAAGACACCACGUGUUCUGAAACUUGAUUCCUGGUUCUGCUACAGUAAGGGCUCCUGUUAAACACUAUAAAGACAAGUGCAUGGUGAGACAAACGGCAGAGGGAUGUAAUUUGUUUAUACAGAAAUUCCAUGAACUGUUGAUUUUUAAUGUAGCUUUUCUACAAUAAAUGCCAUAAUUUUCUUUUUUUUUAAGUAGUCACAGCAACUGUAUCUGCCCCUCAGUCUGAACACACUAGUGAAACUUGGGAACAGUUUAUGUGGCUGAAGGGGAUUCCGAUACCAUCCUUCAACAGCAACUAAAGUCUCAAACAGUGAGACCAAUUACUUUGCAGAAGGUAUUUCUACUGUCUCAAACUAAGGCUGUAGCAAAAGCAGUUUGGUAAAAAAUAGGUACUGCUGCUCCCUACUCCAAGAGUUCCCUUCCACGCUUUCUUGCCCCCGCAGUGUUUGCUUAGCAGGCAGCUGCUUCAACUCGGGCUCAGCUUGGAAACACCCCCUAGCCAGUUAUUAGCAGUGAAGACCAUCUCAGCCAGCCUUCAAAACAUGGCUCUCUUACCCCAGCUCCCACCUUCUCUUCAGACCAGCUGAAACUAUGCCUUAGGUUUAUAUCCCCUCCCGCUAGCAGUUGAUACCUUGCCAUUCAUCCCCCAAACAUAAGCACUAUCCCUCCUGCUAGACUAUACCAGCCUUUCGCUGCACCUCAUGAAUAAUAGGUACUUGGCACAGAAAUGCUGAUGUGAUGUGGCUUGUGAAAAUGAAUGGCUGCUGUAAGCAAGGGCUAGCAGCUUCAGGUCUGUUGAGGCAUCUGCUGAUCACGUGAGCACUGGAGAGCAUCACUGCCUGGUCCAGGAGAUGAGUAUGGUGUUAAUAUCAUACUGCGGUGCAGGUCUGGAGCACUCAGCCUGGGUUACCAAAGCUCUGGAGCUGCAGGUCCACGCUUGUGGAGGCAAGAGCGGAGCUUGCGCUAACCCUCCAGGGCUUGGUGCAACAGAACUGCCACCUCAGGCAGGUGGGGGAGUGGACUGUGAUUAGCUAGACAUAGCUCACCUUUCUCACCUCUGGAUACCACGGCAACUCACAGAGUACUCAUGCCUGCAGUGCUCAGAGCCAGGGCCUGCUUAGAUGUCUGCAAAUCACCUUUUCCCAAAAAACAUCAAAUGCACCACUUCCGUGGAAGGAUGAUGAGGCUUGCCACAAAAUACAUGCUACAACUCUUCCCUGCCAGGUGGUAGCCAUUUCAUUAAAAAAAAAAGCAGGAAUCUGUAAAGGAGAGCAAAGGAGGUCACAGCUUUAGCCUUUUACCACUGUCUGUAAAUAAAAUGUCUUGUUCAUGCACACAAGAGGAUCCAUUUUCAAAUAUGAUAAAGGACAAUAAAGUGGCACUUUUAAGGAAGAAAAGUAUACACUGAGGAAAAAACCCUACACUUCAUUACGAGAGUUGCCUGCCUUGCUCUUUCUGUCUGUGAAGACAGGUUCUCGCUUUAGCUGUCCCACCUUUGCAACAGCAGCUGAUUGUCCUCAGAGUGCAGUUUCCUGCUUGCCAUCUCUUGAGAGGGUCAGUCCUCCUCUGCCUCACUGCAGAGUUUUGGAGCUCCAUUCUAGGAGUCCUGAGCGUCCAGAGCUCAUAAGCAGGGUGGUAACUGGAUCACCAUUCCUCCUUUCUCUGUAUGUUCUUGAUAGCAGCAGUAGGUCACUGGGACAUCUUGAAACAUUUUACUAUAGAACUUGCAGGUCUGGCAGAGAUUCCUGGCCACAGCUUUUCAUCCCAUCAUACCCUCUGGCCUGCAGGUCCUUCCCUCAGCCCACUCUAGUCCUUGUAGAAGGACCUGCAUAGCCUCCCAGACACUUAGGAGACCCAGCAGCUCUGCCGUCCUCCAGGCAGCAGGACAGGGUGUAAACAUGCUUCUCCUGGUGACAAACAUUCCCUCUCUGCCCACGCUUACAGGUUGGCAGGAGAAAGUCCUGCACAUAAGCACUGCAAGUGAUCCCACCCAGAAGCAGAACAGAAUUCUAUGCCACACAAUGACCUUCUGCGCUUUGAUAUAACGUCAUAAUGAAGACAAACAGGGAGACAACUACAUUUACUGUCUUAAAGUGAAUUUAGUGCUUGUGAAAGGUGCAGGAAAUACAAGUUAAACCAUACACAAUGUAAACUUUCCCUCCACGCUGUCCUCUAGCCUAUAGUGAUACAAAGUACCACCUCUAUGUACCAGAGGGAAUCUGCUGCCCAGAUCCACUCUUACUGAUCUUUUUAUUACCAGCAGUUCUAGUGGUAGAGACUUGUGUCCUCUGGGAAAGGAACUACAUCAACACUCAUUUUGGCCAGGUAUCCGAGUAGAAAUUUAUUUACUAUUGAUCAAAACUGGGCAAGAGGUGUUCACCUUGAAUUUCUGAAGAGUUUUCAAGCUCCUGAGCUAUCCAGACCCUGCUUUUUCUUGUUCCGAACACAGCACAUGCAGUUUUAAUUUUAAAAAUAAGUUUUCAGACGAUUCUGCAAGUGGAAAAAAUUCU